rnacentral:rRNA from 1 species
ACUCAAAUGAAUUGACGGGGGCCUGCACAAGCGGUGGAGUAUGUGGCUUAAUUCGAUGCAACGCGAAGAACCUUACCUGGCCUUGACAUGGAAGUGGUAGAAGGAUGAAAGUCUGACGACCUCGCAAGGGGAGCUUCUACAGGUGCUGCAUGGCUGUCGUCAGCUCGUGUCGUGAGAUGUUGGGUUAAGUCCCGCAACGAGCGCAACCCCCGUGUUCUGUUGCCACUCCCAUGAAAGUGGGAAGCACUCUGGACAGACUGCCUCGCUUAAACGAGGAGGAAGGUGGGGAUGACGUCAAGUCAGUAUGGCCCUUACGGCCAGGGCUGCACACGUACUACAAUGCCCGGCACAAUGGGAAGCGAUACCGCAAGGUGGAGCAAAUCCCCAAAAACCGGGCCCAGUUCAGAUUGUCGGCUGCAACUCGCCGACAUGAAGCCGGAAUCGCUAGUAAUGGCGCAUCAGCUACGGCGCCGUGAAUACGUUCCCAGGCCUUGUACACACCGCCCGU